rnacentral:rRNA from 1 species
UACGGAGGGGGCUAGCGUUGCUCGGAAUCACUGGGCGUAAAGCGCACGUAGGCGGGUCUUUAAGUCAGGGGUGAAAUCCUGGAGCUCAACUCCAGAACUGCCUUUGAUACUGAGGAUGUUGAGUUCGGGAGAGGUGAGUGGAACUGCGAGUGUAGAGGUGAAAUUCGUAGAUAUUCGCAAGAACACCAGUGGCGAAGGCGGCUCACUGGCCCGAUACUGACGCUGAGGCACGAAAGCGUGGGGAGCAAACAGG